rnacentral:lncRNA from 1 species
UUUUAGGGCCACAUCUGCAGCAUGUGGAGGUUCCCAGGCUAGGGGAUGAAAUAGAGCUACAGCUGCCGGCCUACACCACAGCCACGCAACACCAGAUCCAAGCUGCAUCUGUGACCUACACCACAGCUCAUGGCAACACCAGAUCCUUAACCCACUGAGCGAGGCCAGGGAUCAAAUCUGAGACCUCAGGGUUCCUAGUUAGAUUCAUUUCCGCUGCAUCACGAUGGGAACUUCAGAAAAUUUCUUAUUUUGAAAAAAUGUGUACAUAUAGAUGAAAUAUUAUUUUUAGUUGUACUUUUCUCUCUUUUUUUAUGAAUUUGCAUGUCCCUGUUCAUUAGCAUGUGUCAAGUGAAUAUAUAUGUAUAUAUUACAUGUUUUUAAACAUGUAUUUAAUUUUGCUCUCCUCUGAAUUGUACAUUAGUGCAUUUUCUUGAGUUACUAGUUAUUUUAUUAAUUUGUUAGUGCUUUGUGUAGGUGCCAUCUAUGUUAAGAAGAAAAAGGGGAAGCGAUUGUCCAGAGUCAACAAGCUUUAGAUUCAAAUCCCAAUUUAAUAUGUGCACAAUUUGGGGAAAUUUAUUUACUCUUCAAAUCUUAAUUUUAUUUUGUAUAUACAAAAUGAGGAUACUUGCAUUUCCUAAUCCUAAGGUGAUUUUAUGAGAAUUAAAUAAUAUCAUGAUCACAAAGUGCUAAGUACUAUUUUCCUGGUAGAAAGUAGAGGUUAAAUGAGUGCUAAUACUUCCUUUCUCCCUAGUUUUUUACAUUUCCACCAUCUCAAGAAGGUCCUUUAUACAUAAACUUCAAAUGAGCAAUAGAAAUAUUGUAUUGUCUUUUAUUAUCAGCACUUAACCAUCACUAUCAGCUUUCAUUUCACUGAUUAAAAGCAAAUAAGAUACUUGUUCUUUAUUAUCAAAACAUAGUCCUAUAUAUAGUCCCUAAAAUAGACAAAUUGAUCCAAUUUACUUCUAAGACCCUGUGCUUAACAAUUGGCAGGCCACAGAAAUAUAAACAAGGCUUUUGACAGGUCAUUUAGAAUGAAAAAUAUUCAUUCAAAAAUAUAUUAGGAUCUAGCAUUAGUGAUGGUACCAACGUUUUAGUAAUCAAAUGAUUCCAGCCUUCAAUAAUUCAGUUUUCCAAAAUCCAUUGUUUGCACAUUUAGGAUGAGUGCUUACAUAAUUUGUUAUUUUAAAAUUAUGAAUAUACACGCAAAAAUGUUCAUUCAUCACAAGUGCAAAGGCAACUCAAAACUGGAGUGCCAAAGUUAGCAUUUUUUAAAUAAGCUUCUGCAUCCCAUACAUUGAGAACAGGAUUACAAUCACUAAAUCAUCCUGUAUCUGGGAACACAUAUAAACUGCAAACUAAUGAGGUAAGCAAUUUUGGUUAAUUAGAAUCAAUAAUAUCAUCCUUUAAUUAAACAAUAUUGAUUGCAUUGUACAGAGGGCAGCCUUUUGAAAUAAUAUGAUCUUAGGCAAUAUGUCUUUGCCUUGCAAAAAUAUGUCAGGGGGCAAGUUUCCUUUGACAUGGACUAGCCCCUCUCUACCCUUGCCAAUAUACUAGUAUUUUACAUUUAUAAAGUCAGAACUGGAGAGAUUUCCAAACACCAAUCAUAUGAAUUUGAUACCCCAACAUGUGUGGUUGAAGUUUCUUUUGACCUCAUCUGGAAGCCUCUUUAUGGCAAGAGAAAGACAUAAUUGGCUAGUCAUGAAGAGCUUAAUUUAUUCUGGCUAUAACUAAAAAACAUAAUGAUAACAAUCAAGUAUUAAUAAUUUAUUAUUUUUGGUAUAAUUUUCUACAGUUAUUUCAAAAUUUUAUGGAAAUUAUUAUUCCCACCUGAAUGUCCCACUAUAUUGUAAGCUCUAUGAAGGCAGGAACUGAGUGUGUCUUGUUCACCAUGAUUUUCCUUUCUCUGAGCACAUGCUUGCUACAAAGUAGGCGUGACACACGUAUUUGUUAUAAAGGUAUUUUCUUCAGUGACCCAUCUGACAUACGUGGCCAACCACAGGAGCCACGAACCGUGAGGCCAACUGAAAUGGUUCAUGGCAUGUUGCCCACACUCACACUUUACUUGAUUCCAUGGAAUUCGAAAGUAUCACUCCUAUCGUUAAAGACCUACUGACCCUCAGCCUCGGUCUACCGAUUGACUUUUUCAUUAUUCUCAUGUUUAAGAGAUCUUUCCUUAUAUGUAAUAUAAAUAUCUAUUGGUACAGUUUUUUAAGUCCAUUUUCCUUGGUUCUGUCAGCAAUAGAAAUGGAGAAUAGCUGGGCAUUAAAUCUAUAUUUUUUGGAGACCGUUAGCAUAAAACCACCUCAGACAGAGGAAGAAGUUCCUGAAGUGUCUUAAUAUGCUGCAUUACUCUGAAGUAAAUGAGAAAUUGUGAGCACAUAAAAAUAACAAAAUAAAUAUGAGUACAUUUCCAGAGCACAUAUUCUCUUCAGGGAGGGAAAUUAUUCCAGAUCCUUUCUCAUUUUCCCAUAAGCCUUAUGUUGCAGUUGUUGAAAUGAGUCUUCAAUAAGUGCAAUUCAAUUGAUUGUAACUGAAUGCCAGUUUAAAUUGGCUCCAGGUUAUAUACUGUGAGAAUACCCAAAGAUACUGAACAAAGUAGCAAAGUCUAGCAACUACAGCAAUGGAAUUUUCAGAGUCAAAGAGACCAAGACUGAAGUCCCAAGAAGCUUUCCUACUAACAAUGCAUAUAAUUUGGGGCAAAAUAUUUGAAUGCACUAAGGUUCAUGUUUUUUUAAUUGAGAAAAUCAGGAUGACAGCAUAUGCCUUAUUGGUCUAUUGGAAAGGUUACUUAGAAUAUUGUACUAAAAGUGCUUAGCACAAAGCCUUGUCUGUUGUAAAUCUUAGCUACUUUUUAUUAGCCAUGCUUCUUCUCCUCCAAAAGCUUAUUUGAGGACAGACCCUUGAUCUAUUGCUCCUCAGAUCAUUGAUGUUUCUAUUAUAUUUCUCAGGUUGUUAUGCAGCUACUCAUUUCAUUCCAUCCCAUUCCAUAAACCUACCAUAUCAGCAAUUCUCUUGGACUAUAGCUUAUCAUAUAUUAGCAGGGAAACAUAUGUGAAUGCAAUUUAUUCCACUGUAAGCUAAGGUGAGCAGUUCACGCAGCAGAGCAUUCUGGCCGGUCAAGGCCUGGAGCUCUGAUAUUAUAAGUAUGUAGAUGGUUAAUGGAUACAGCACAAGCAAAACUGCCUAGCUAAGUGAUUUGGAGCCUCAACUGGUUUCAAAGGGCAGGUGGUACAGUUGGCAAUAGCAUGAGAUUUCCUUCACCCUGAAAUUUGACAAAUGAGGCAACAAGGCUUAUAAAUAGUCCCUGAAGACUGAGGUAAUUGGGUGAGAAGGCAUGACAGGGUAUGGAAAGUACAGGAGUUAUAGCUCCUUUCAAUUUAUUACAAGGCACUCUGCUAAGACCUUUGCUGGAAUUGGGACUACUGGCCAAAUUAUCUAAUUUGAGCUACUGAACCAAGAUACCAAAUUUCAAGAUCUAAUGGCCCCAUUAAUCCCUUCUG